rnacentral:rRNA from 1 species
UACGGAGGGUGCAAGCGUUGUUCGGAUUUACUGGCGUAAGCGCGCGCAGGUGGGUGAACAAGUCGGAAGUGAAAUCUUGAGGCUCAACCUCGAGGCUGCUCCCGAAACUGUUCGUCUAGGGACUGGUAGAGGCUGGUAGAAUUCCCGGUGUAGUGGUGAAAUGCGUAGAUAUCGGGAGGAACACCAGUGGCGAAGGUCGAACUACCUGGCCUGUUCUUGACGCUGAGGCGCGAAAGCUAGGGGAGCAAACGGGG